rnacentral:rRNA from 1 species
GAGUUUGAUCCUGGCUCAGAUUGAACGCUGGCGGGAUGCCUUACACAUGCAAGUCGAACGGCAGCGCGGACUUCGGUCUGGCGGCGAGUGGCGAACGGGUGAGUAAAGUAUCGGAACGUGCCCAGUAGCGGGGGAUAACUACGCGAAAGCGUAGCUAAUACCGCAUACGCCCUGAGGGGGAAAGCGGGGGAUCUUCGGACCUCGCACUAUUGGAGCGGCCGAUAUCGGAUUAGCUAGUUGGUGGGGUAACGGCUCACCAAGGCGACGAUCCGUAGCUGGUUUGAGGGGACGACCAGCCACACUGGGACUGAGACACGGCCCAGACUCCUACGGGAGGCAGCAGUGGGGAAUUUUGGACAAUGGGGGCAACCCUGAUCCAGCCAUCCCGCGUGUGCGAUGAAGGCCUUCGGUU